GACGAACGCUGGCGGCGUGCUUAACACAUGCAGGUCGAACGGAAAGGCCCUGCUUUUGUGGGGUGCUCGAGUGGCGAACGGGUGAGUAACACGUGAGUAACCUGCCCUUGACUGUGGGAUAACUUCAGGAAACUGGGGCUAAUACCGGAUAGGAGCUCCUGCUGCAUGGUGGGGGUUGGAAAGUUUCGGCGGUUGGGGAUGGACUCGCGGCUUAUCAGCUUGUUGGUGGGGUAGUGGCUUACCAAGGCUUUGACGGGUAGCCGGCCUGAGAGGGUGACCGGCCACAUUGGGACUGAGAUACGGCCCAGACUCCUACGGGAGGCAGCAGUGGGGAAUAUUGCACAAUGGGCGGAAGCCUGAUGCAGCAACGCCGCGUGCGGGAUGACGGCCUUCGGGUUGUAAACCGCUUUCGCCUGUGACGAAGCGUGAGUGACGGUAAUGGGUAAAGAAGCACCGGCUAACUACGUG
rnacentral:rRNA from 1 species